rnacentral:rRNA from 1 species
AAGCUCUGUCGGGAGGGACGAAGGGGGCUAGCGUUGUUCGGAAUUACUGGGCGUAAAGCGCACGUAGGCGGAUUGGUCAGUUAGGGGUGAAAUCCCGGAGCUCAACUCCGGAACUGCCUUUAAUACUGCCAAUCUAGAGACCGAGAGAGGUAAGUGGAACUCCUAGUGUAGAGGUGGAAUUCGUAGAUAUUAGGAAGAACACCAGUGGCGAAGGCGGCUUACUGGCUCGGAACUGACGCUGAGGUGCGAAAGCGUGGGGAGC